rnacentral:rRNA from 1 species
UACGUAGGGUGCAAGCGUUGUCCGGAAUUAUUGGGCGUAAAGAGCUCGUAGGCGGUCUGUCGCGUCUGCUGUGAAAACCUAGGGCUUAACUCUGGGCGUGCAGUGGGUACGGGCAGGCUAGAGUGCGGUAGGGGAGACUGGAAUUCCUGGUGUAGCGGUGAAAUGCGCAGAUAUCAGGAGGAACACCGGUGGCGAAGGCGGGUCUCUGGGCCGUAACUGACGCUGAGACGCGAAAGCGUGGGGAGCAAACAGG